rnacentral:rRNA from 1 species
UACGGAGGGUGCGAGCGUUGUCCGGAAUCAUUGGGCGUAAAGGGCGCGUAGGUGGCGGGACAAGCGUGCGGUGAAAGCUCGGGGCUCAACCCCGCGUCGGCCGUGCGAACUGUUUUGCUUGAGCACUGUAGAGGCAGGCGGAAUUCCGGGUGUAGCGGUGGAAUGCGUAGAGAUCCGGAAGAACACCGGUGGCGAAGGCGGCCUGCUGGCAGUAGCUGACACUGAGGCGCGACAGCGUGGGGAGCAAACAGG